rnacentral:RNase_P_RNA from 1 species
CAAGUUGACCGGGUGAUCGCGGGCGAUGUUUACAUCGCUUGAGGAAAGUCCGCACUCCACAGGGUACGGUGCUAGCUAACAGCUAGGCGGGGUGACCCGAUGGCACAGUGCAACAGAGAGCAAACCGCCUACGACGAAACAGCAGCUUGCUGCUGCAUCGUCCGGCAAGGGUGAAACGGCGGUGUAAGAGACCACCAGCGCGGGCAGUGAUGUUCGCGGCUAGGCAAACCCCACCGGGAGCAAGGCCAAGCAGGCGCAUUGGAGCGGCCCGUUCCGUAAAAAGCGCCGGGUGUGCUGCAUGACGCCGGGAGCAAUUCCGGCGCUAGAGAGAUGGUCACCGAUUACAGAAUGCGGCUUACAGGUCGACUUGGACA